GCUCUAUAGAGAAGACGUUUACUGUGAUUGAACAAUGGACCAGACUACUUAGAUCAAGCAGACGCUAGUGACCGAGAUUAUUUGUUGGAUAGCCAAUAUCGACGGGCGUGAUUGUAUUUCUGCUGUGUUGAUCUCGAUAACAUUACAGUUGACGCUUUGUUGCUGGAUGUCCGGGAACUUUGUCAAAUCUUGAUCAUCGUCGUUACUGAUCUUGUUGCUAGGAGUCUUGAAUGCUAAGCGUCUUUCUAGAGAUUUCCGCGAACCUCAAGAGAUGACUUCUUUAACAGUCUGAAGAGAGUACAAGCUGAGUUGGUUGGCAUACGUAGCUCUGUUGGAAUCCCUUUAUUAAGGUGAAAAAAAUUUCUAAUCAAUUCUAAACAUAUGUAUGAAACUACUAUUAUAAAACAAUUUCUAAUUUUUGUGUUUAUUUUUAUUGUUUAUUAUUGUGAGACAUUGAUUUUAAAUAUAUUUGAUUAACUGAACUCCUUUCGCACGCUUUUGACUACGCGAGAGAGUUCAUCGCUGCUUUUGCGUUUCCCGGACCAGUGGCUUACCCAGGCAUGUUUGCAGGUUGCCCGGAAACCUCCACAAGGUAAGCGUCACUUUAGUGUUAACGCAAGUGACUAUUAGUGCGAGUGCCGAAUGAUUCUUUUCCAGAACUGUAAUUUAGGUUACAUCUCUGGCCCUAAUCCUCAAGUCUAACCGUAGGGCUAAUGUUGUGAGGCUUAGGGAUAGAGUUGUGAGGGUUAGGGUUUGAAUUGUAAAGUUAGAAUUAGAGUCCUGUGAUGGUUAGGGCUAAAGUUGUGAAGGUUAGGGCUACAGUUGUGAGUUUUAGGACUACAGUUGUGAGGGUAAGGCUAAAGUGGUGAGGGGUAGGGUUAUAGUUGUGAGGGUUAGGGUUUGAAUUGUGAAGGUUAGAAUUAGAGUCCUGUGAGGGCUAAAGUUGUGAGGGCUAGGGCUAUAGUUGUGAGGUUUAGGGCUAAAGUUGUGAGGGUUAGGGCUACAGUUGUGAGGGUUAUGGCUAAAGUUGUGAGA